UCUGGAGAAAUCGCAGUUUGAAAAGGAGCAGCUGUGAAACUCCCCCACAUUUGGUUGGCCAGGUGAGAGACUCCAGGACGAUGCUUGUCACCUGGAUGUGGUUGCCUCUUCUGGGGCUCCUGGCCGGCCACGGGAAGGCCCAGAGCUGCAAGCCGGAGCUGAGAGGCAUUG